rnacentral:rRNA from 1 species
CGGCGCACAUAAGACAUGCAAGUCGAACGAAAGUCGUUAUACUGAAUUUGAAAUGAACUGUGAACUUGUUCAGAGGGACUAGAUGAUGAUUAUAACAAUGGCUUUAGUGGCGGACUGGUGAGUAACGCGUAGGUAACCUGCCUAACAGAGGGGAAUAACAGUGAGAAAUCAUUGCUAAUACCGCAUAUGCUCACAGUACCACAUGGUACAGUGAGGAAAGGAGUAAUCCGCUGAUAGAUGGGCCUGCGUCUGAUUAGCUAGUUGGUUAGGUAAAAGCUGACCAAGGCAACGAUCAGUAGCCGGACUGAGAGGUUAAACGGCCACAUUGGGACUGAGAUACGGCCCAGACUCCUACGGGAGGCAGCAGUCGGGAAUAUUGCGCAAUGGAGGAAACUCCUGACGCAGUGACGCCGCGUAUAGGAAGAAGGUUUUCGGAUUGUAAACUAUUGUCGUUAGGGAAGAUAAAAGACAGUACCUAAGGAGGAAGCCCCGGCUAACUAUGUGCCAGCAGCUGC